rnacentral:rRNA from 1 species
AGUUAACUUGCCCUCGGGACUGGAACAACCCCGGGAAACUGGGGGUAAUUCUAGAUAGACAGAGAGGCCUGGAACGGUUCUCUGUCGAAAAGGGAUUGGAUGCAUGCUGUUCAAUCUCGCCCGAGGAUAGGGCCGCACCCGAUCAGGUCGCUGGUGAGGUAAUGGCUCACCAGGCCUAUAACCGGUACGGGCCGUGAGAGCGGGAGCCCGGAGAUAGGCACUGAGAUAAGGGCCCAGGUCCUACGGGACGCAGCAGGCGCGAAACCUCCGCAAUGCACGAAAGUGUGACGGGGUCACCCCGAGUGCCAUCCGCUGAGGGUGGCUUUUGCCCGGUGUAAUGAGCCGGGUGAAUAAGGGGAGGGCAAGCCUGGUGCCAG